rnacentral:lncRNA from 1 species
CAUCAGCCACACUACAACCAUGCCCUCCCUUUUAGCACACUCAAGUGCACAUCAACCGAACCCUUCUAGUUUAACUCCACAGUUCACUCCUCAAGCCACCAUUUCCUUCAUUCAAUACUUAGAAUUUUCAGCAGCAACAACAAGAACCUUCACUCCAUCUCUGCCAAGAAUUUCCAGAAGGUAAUCCUUGGCUUUAAUGCUUCCACUUUUAUGUUCAUGUUUCACCUGCAUUUACUGAGACAGCAGCACCAACUUUAUUUCAGUUUCAGUUCAUUCAAUAUUCAACAACAACCAACCAACAAAACCUUCAAGGUAUUUCACCAUCGCAGCUAUUUCAAGUUCCAGUUAUAUGCUUCACAUUCUAUCAGUAUGAGUUCAGCUUUAGACAUGCUAGAUAUGUAUUGAACAACAUGAUCAUUUCAAAGAGAUAAAUGCAUAAUCAGUUCACUUCUAUAUAGAACCAACAGCAUGCAACCCUAUCAGUUCACUUCUAUAUAGAAUCAACAGCAUGUAACUGUUUAGCCCUAUUUCGUGAUGAUUUUAUGAGGUUUCCUGCUGUGCAUUCGAGCUCGUUUCGUACCUUUUUGCUCUAUAUUUCACGUGCUCGAUGAUCUUUUUGGAUGUACUAUUGUUGCGUGCAGGAUUCGCGAGUUGCCGAGCGUUUUGGCAUUGUUUCGAGCAUGUUUUGGAGUCAGGCUCACGGCCGCCGCCGCCAGGCGGCGGCCGCCGUGGAACCGUGGAAGCAAUCUGCGAAGACAGACCACGGCGCCGCCGUNUAUGAUUCAAAUUUACCAUCUGCAACAAAAAGGAGAAGAGAGAAGUACUCCAUUCGGUUAUAUUACACAUUUGCAACAAAAGGAAAAGAAAAGAAAAAAGGGGGGGGGGGACUUUGGGCAUGAAGCAGCUGCUGCUACAGUUCCCAACAGUUCCUCUCUACAGCUACAGCUACUCCCUCCUUCCUCUACAACCACUCUUCCAUCACUUCAAGGCCAUGCCUUAGGACACAAGAGGUCCAAUCCAGCCACCAUUCUCUGCAGCCAAGUCAACAACAGCCUUACCAAAGGAACAACUAGGCUGUCCAUCAGCCACACUACAACCAUGCCCUCCCUUUUAGCACACUCAAGUGCACAUCAACCGAACCCUUCUAGUUUAACUCCACAGUUCACUCCUCAAGCCACCAUUUCCUUCAUUCAAUACUUAGAAUUUUCAGCAGCAACAACAAGAACCUUCACUCCAUCUCUGCCAAGAAUUUCCAGAAGGUAAUCCUUGGCUUUAAUGCUUCCACUUUUAUGUUCAUGUUUCACCUGCAUUUACUGAGACAGCAGCACCAACUUUAUUUCAGUUUCAGUUCAUUCAAUAUUCAACAACAACCAACCAACAAAACCUUCAAGGUAUUUCACCAUCGCAGCUAUUUCAAGUUCCAGUUAUAUGCUUCACAUUCUAUCAGUAUGAGUUCAGCUUUAGACAUGCUAGAUAUGCAUUGAACAACAUGAUCAUUUCAAAGAGAUAAAUGCAUAAUCAGUUCACUUCUAUAUAGAACCAACAACAUGCAACCCUAUCAGUUCACUUCUAUAUAGAAUCAACAGCAUGUAACCCUACACCGUUUUACGCUUGAAGACCAUAGCCAUUUACUUAGCACACACAACACCUUUGAUUCGUACAAAUAGAAGGAAUAAAAGUAGGACUUAGCUUCUGAAAAGGGAGGAAGCAGCAGCGGCUCGGUGCUUGGCGGCGGUUUCAGGCGAGAAGCUCGCCUUGGUGCUCCACGAUUUGUUAAGUUGAGAGAGUGAGAAAGAUGUUGAGGGCUGAGCUCGUUGCCAGAGCAGAGUAGCGAGUCGGCAGAGCAGAG